rnacentral:rRNA from 1 species
CCGACGGUGAGGGAUGAAAGCUGGGGGAGCAAACCGGAUUAGAUACCCGGGUAGUCCCAGCUGUAAACGAUGCGCGUUAGGUGUGUCAGUGACCACGUGUCACUGAUGUGCCGAAGGGAAACCGUGAAACGCGCCGCCUGGGGAGUACGGUCGCAAGGCUGAAACUUAAAGGAAUUGGCGGUGGAGCACCACAACGGGUGGAGCCUGCGGUUUAAUCGGACUCAACGCCGGAAAUCUCACCGGAUAA